CAUCCCCCAGGCGGACUGUUGCAUAAGAGUGCUCAGUGUUUGACAACAAACCAUGCAUACAAUUACAAUCAGGCCUAUGCUGACACCGUUGCCCAUGGUUCUGCUCAUAUGGAUAACUUUCAACACACUUGUCUGAUUACGGUUACCUUACGGGAUUGUAACUCAUUGUGAAAAGUGUAGGCACACGGUGCAUGCAGAUAAGCCGGUUUGAAACUGCAGCCUAGAGGAGGACAUGAGAGUAGCUGCCAGGAGGAGCCGCCCGCCUGACGCCCGUGUGCACAGCCCCUGGUUCACUGGCUGGUUCAGAGCCCAUCAAUCACUGGCCCGUGUGGACCUCAGGUUGGUGGCUCUUGGCUUGUCUGCUGUGUUUGAAUGCUGUUAGCAGGAGCCAUCUGCUGCUGUUUACGGUUCAUUAGCCCCGAUACUGAAGACAGCCAGGCUACCCCCACAGCAACAGGUACAAAAGCCGGCCUCUUCUGACUGCUACAAUAAACGUCCCAUCACGUUGAUCCGGUAUCCAAUUAGAAUAAUACAUGAGGAAAAUCGGUGUUUUCUUUUAGGGCAAACUAACUGUGACUAAAGGAGUACACAUGAUUCCUGGUGGCGAUGGUGGGAUGAAAGUCGUAGUGUUCUGGAAAAACUCAUACUCUAAUGCAUACCUUCCCAGAAGUCCGUAGGCAUACUGGGAACCAGCCAGUAGUAACGUGAUCUCGUCCCUCUGCAUGGUUAUGACACACUCUUCCAGGCCCUGCGGGUGAAGAGAAGCCCAAUGUUGUAUUCUAAAUGCACGCUGACAUGUUGGAUUUGCAAAUCGCUUUUUAUUAGUUUGUUACUAAUACACUUUAGGGUGUUGCUAUUUGGUAUGCCAGUGACCUGAUAUCCCAGGUCAGAGUCAAGAGGAACCGCACCUGAAUGACAUCCGCCUCUCCUAUGACGAACACCAGCUUUCUGUCCUUCUCCACAACACUGCGGUCCUCCAGGAAGCCCUGCAGUUUGACGGUCACUUCCUGGCCCCAGGUGGGGUGUGGGGCAUGUGGGGGCCCAGGUUGUAGGACCUUCUUCCUCAGUAGGCAGUCAUCUGCGUAACACAGAGAAAAGGUCCCGUUGAUUGAAUUGGGUUUACCUGCUGGUUGCGCAGGAGCUAAGUUUUAAGAGUUAGUCUACCUGUAAAAAAAAUUAUUGAUACAUUUGUGUAUAUACAUUGAUGCACCAACCCCUCCCAAGAGUUGCAGUAACGUGCUUUGUAUUUAUUGUAUUCACAUAUUGCCAAUCCUACCUGUAAUAUUCUGCCAAUCUUUUGCCUUGAACAAUUCCUCAAACUUCCAUUCCUCCAGCACAUAAUCUGGAAAAAGACUUUCUCCAGAACUGUCCCUCUCCAACACCACAUCUGUCUGGGACGGGUCCUGGAAUCGGACCGUUUUCCAGCUGUUUGUUUUCCGAAGUUUCUUCCCAUCCGCACGUCCUCCGACUCUCCGGUUCUCUCGGCCUGAAUAGUUUUCAAGUGUGUGACUUUCUCCUUCUUCACGUUGGCUCCCCAUCUCAUCCUCCCCUUCCCUACACUGCUCCUCUCGUCCACCCAGGCCCGGCGUCUGGUGAUCCUCCAUCUGGGGGGAAAGGUCCCUCUCUGCAGGCCCAGGGGAGGCCUCGGGUUCAGCAGGGUCCUCUGGCUUCACCAGGGACAGCUUGGGCUCCUCAGCGGACCAGUCUGCUUCCAUCUCCCGAUCGAGAGCCAGGGACACCAUCUGGGGACAGCUCCAGAGACGAGAUGAUCCUCCCAGCUCUUCUUGUUAGUUUUGGGUCUAAAGUCUUUUUUUUCAGUCCUGGGUUGGAAGCGAUGUGGUAUUGAAGUGCUUAAAUCUGCAAUCCAAGAGAGUUAACAGAAAGUAUUCACUAAAAGGGAGCAUCCGCAUCUCUUACUCUGAGCUUCAUGUACGGAGGUCUGUCCAAUCCGACACAGUUCACCGCUACUCUGCUGCACUUUGACCUCUCGCCUGCAUGCUUGUAUUUCCCCAGUGUUGAGGACGCAACCAGAAAUGAACAAUGUAAAGAAAUGGUUCCACGUAUGAAGCAAUCACAGUCAGCAGGCUUGCGCGGUGGUAAUCUGCAGGAUUACAAGACCAAAACCUAAUCUGCCAGCAUGUCCAUAAGCUUCUUAAUGACUUCAUCAAACUGCGACAUAGGUUCUACCGUCGUGACGUUGGUGUCAUGGUUUUGGAAGGUUUGCUUGUUAUUCGAUGAAAAGCAAAAAGUGAAGGACUGUGAGAGUGGUGUUUGUCACAACAAGUCGUGUAUACUUCCUGUUUUUAUGACUCACAUUAACUUGAUGCUUGAAAUUAACCAGAUGAAUAAAUGGCUUCUGAUGACCCUA